rnacentral:rRNA from 1 species
GAUGAACGCUAGCGGCAGGCUUAACACAUGCAAGUCGAGGGGUAUAUGCUUUCGGGCAUAGAGACCGGCGCACGGGUGCGUAACGCGUAUGCAAUCUGCCUUUCACAGAGGGAUAGCCCAGAGAAAUUUGGCUUAAUACCUCAUAGCAUAGCACAAUCGCAUGAUUGAGCUAUUAAAGUCACAACGGUGAAAGAUGAGCAUGCGUCCCAUUAGCUAGUUGGUAAGGUAACGGCUUACCAAGGCUACGAUGGGUAGGGGUCCUGAGAGGGAGAUCCCCCACACUGGUACUGAGACAAGGACCAGACUCCUACGGGAGGCAGCAGUGGGGAAUAUUGGUCAAUGGGCGCAAGCCUGAACCAGCCAUGCCGCGUGCAGGAUGACGGUCCUAUGGAUUGUAAACUGCUUUUGUACGGGAAGAAACACUCCUACGUGUAGGAGCUUGACGGUACCGUAAGAAUAAGGAUCGGCUAACUCCGUGCCAGCCGCCGCAGUAACAC